GGAUGGCUGAUGAUAAAUUGAUAACAUCAGCUCCAGCUGAAAAUCUGAAAGUAUUUUUUUUCACUAGGAAGUUUUUUCUACUAUUAUUAUUAUUUAACGAUGAAUCACUAAACGUAUUUGUUUAUUUGUUAUUUUAUAUACUUGUCUAUGACAGUAUGUAACGUACAAAACAAUUAUCUCGAUACAUGGUGCGUAAUGUUGUACUAUAUACAUACGCACACGAACAUACAAUAUAACACGUAAACCAGAUAUACACACGCACACGCGCGCGCGAUUAAUCGUUUUCCGCAUUUAAUAAUAUGUAUUUUUAUUGUUGUUGACGUAAAUAAUAUUGAACACGCACACACGAGCAGGCGGGAGCGCGCACUGUCGGUCGGCACUCUGCAGCGUUAAUGGCGCACUCGACUCGAGUCGGUUUCAACGGCGUUAAUAAUGUUUUUUGACUUGAACCGCGGCAAUCGCUGUUCGUUGCACGAGAAUCGACUUCAAUAAUAUUUUGAUCAUCGACAACCGACGCAGUGUACCACACUGCUACUGUGCCGUGCACCGUUGUCCGGAGAUCGUCGCACGACUACCUGACGGUCGAACAAUAAUAAUACCGACCAUUUAGCAACAAUAAUAAAAGUGACGAUUUUUUGGAUUUAAUUUUGCAUAUCCCUCCUACCACCGUUGUUGUAAUUGUCAUCGCUGUUUUCAUGGGUGCGUUCCACUGUAAAUCGUGUCAGAACGGCGAGAAUGUGACGAACAUAUUCGGUCACGAUGGCGGUGAACGGAGACGGUUUAUAUUUGGCAGGCGUCGUAGCCGCAGUGGUUCGGUCAGACAGACCGAUUCGCUUGUGCUUCAGACAUUGAGCAUCAUCAAGAAUUUGGGACUUAUUGAGAAUGGUACUGAAGCUCCUGAAGCAUUGCGAAAGUUACAUUGGGUCGCAGAUGAUGGUGAUGGUUGGAUUCAAGUGGUAUUGUCUAUGAUUCAUGUCAUUCCCCUUGACGAUCCACUAAGUCCAGCUCUUAUAACUGUUAUUCUUGACGAUUGCCCUCUACCCGAUAAAGACACUGUAAUGAAAUUAUCACAAAUGUUAGAUUUGUCAAAUAAAACUCCUAAACGUAAAACAGUUGACCAACAUCGUAACAUUUGUGUAAUAUUAGGUAUACUCGCUGACAAGUUACCUGGACCUUUAAGUAUUGCUUUAUUAACUAAAGAUACAUUGACUUAUCUUUUCAAUAACAUGGAUUUGCAAGUUCAUCCAUCAAUUAUACUAUUUUCAUUAAUUGCACUUGAAAAAUUCGCACAAAUAAGAGAGAACAGAUUUACAAUUGAAACUUUUAUGAAGACUGGACCUUUGGCUAUGUUGUCAAUAUUUGAAAGGUUGACAGGUUCCGAUCAACCAUUUUAUGCUCAAGUUGGGUUUUGCGCUGAAUGGCUACUGGAUAACAUAUUUGUGGACGAUCAAAGGACAUCAUCAUAUUUAAAUAUUUCAAUGGAAGGUGUGAAUGCUAUAUUAAAUCAAGAAGAUGCUAGCGAGUAUCUAAAACUGGGUCCUUCUGGUUUAGAAGCUAGAUGUGAUGCUUGUAGUUUUGAAAGUGUCCGCUGUACAUUCCAAAUUGACAAAGGCACUUGGUACUAUGAAGUAACAAUAUUAACAUCUGGUGUCAUGCAAAUUGGAUGGUCAACUAGAAAUUCGAAAUUUGUUAAUCAUGAAGGAUAUGGCAUAGGUGAUGAUGAAUAUUCCGUAGCCUAUGAUGGAUGUAGACAACUAGUUUGGCAUGGUGCUCGAUGUACAAGUUGUGUAUCUGGAAGGCCAUGGCGAGAAGGAGACACAGUUGGUUGCUUAUUACAAGUGGAAAAACCAUCUCCAACUGCAACAUUCUACCUAAAUGGUCAAAUUGUAGCUUUUAAUGAUAAAAUAUUUCAAUAUGCCAAGACAGAGUUUUUUGCUGCAGCUAGUUUUAUGACAUUCCAACAAAGUCGUUUUAACUUUGGUAGCAAACCAUUCAAAUAUCCACCAAAAGGCGUAAAAUUUAGUAUCAUGAAUGACCAUGGAAAAUUGGAUGCAAAAGAAAAAACAAUCUUACCAAAACAAAUGAGACUGGGCUUAUUAGGUUUGUUGGGCAAGCAAACAGCUGAUGAAGAUUCAUGUACAAUUUGUUUUGAUCAUAAAGCUGAUGUUAUGUUAUACCCUUGUAAACACGAGUCCAAAUGUCUAUGAUAAUUUUUGAAUAGGGCAGUUUUAGUUGGUAUAUGCAGACCUCUAUUGCAUAUGUCAACAAUUAAAAAAUUUUAUACUGCAGUACAAGAGUAUAAUUUGAAUAUUAUGGCUGAAAGGUUAUUGUGAAAACUGUGCACAGCAGCUAACACUUUGUCCAGUUUGUCGUCAAUUAAUCGACAGGUUUCAGGAAAGCAUUCCUACAACAGCCACACCAAUAGUCCUAGUCAGUUAGUUGUGAUGUGAUCUCUUCCAUUUUUUACAAAUUAUUAUAUACGGUUAUGUACAUUUAUAUAGGGUCGCAUACCCCUUGUUUUCCCAUUUUCUCAUUUAACUAAUACAGGGACAUGGGAAAACAAGGUGGUUAACUCUGUAUAUGUAUACAUAUUAUAUUCUUUUAUAUUGUAAGUCUUUAUAAACUUUGUGUAUAUUUAACAAAUGUCUUAAAAAUUAAACUCUUUCAAACAUUGAA